GUCGUUUUCUCCCUCCACCCACGGACAAUGUGUUUCAUUUCCUCCUACGCCCCCUUUUUUCUCCCCUUCCAAAUCACUGCCAUGGCCUCGUCGAUCUCGCCGACGAUCCUCAGCCGCAAUUCAUGCGCGCCGACGGAUACAUGCUUCAGCCACUGCAUCGAGCUCGCCGCCCCGCCUCUUCGACGACGACGCCCCACCGCAUCGACCUCGCCGGCCCGCCACCUCUCACUGGAAAUAGAUCGAGGUUGUAGGCGGCGCGGAGGGGGGAGGGGAUUCGGGGAUUCGUCUUCCUCGAUGACAAGCGGAAGUAUCCGGAUCGAUGCGGAUUUCAAUCAGGAAGACCUAGGGGAAGCUUGAAGAGAAGGGGGAUCGAGAGAUCAUUGAGGUUCGCAUCUGCCAGUCGAUAAGGUUCGUCUCUCCGAGGUGGGCGGACUGAGGGAGACGUUAAGUGGUGAAUCGAGCUGCGUAUGGAGAUCGCCGCCCCCGCCGUUUCGCCUGCAUUGAGCGGGUUGUGGAAGAUGGAUCUAGGCCAUUUCGUGUUGCUUCAAUGACGAGGCGGAAGGGGAUCCUGCGCUCGUCUUCCUCGCUGCUCCCAUCAUCUCAUCUUCGAUGACAAGGUGGAAGGGGAAUCCUGCGCUCCUCUUCCUUGCCACUCUGGGCGUGAACUGCGAGCAGAAUCGAAGAAGGAGAUGCGGACGGAGGCGUACGAGCUGAUCCUCUUCUGCAAUCUCUGCAUCUUCCCCUGUUUUCAUCGACCUUCCAUUUGUGCAUGCUGCAUCAGCUCAUCUGGUCGUCUUCAAUAUCAAAGCGGAAGGGCCUAGAGCUCUUCAUGCUCAGGAUCUGUCAAUCGAUUGGGUUUGCCUCAUCUUGAAUCUUCGAAUUCGUUGCAGAUAGAUUAAUUGCAUCAUAAAGGAGGUUACAUGAUUUUUUUUCUGCUCCAUCACAUGCUUUUUCGAUUCAGGUUUUUGGUAUUGUGCUACUAAGUAUCUAGCUGCUUUGUUUACAUGUUCUUCAUCAAGGGACGGAGGGAGUUCUGGAAGGUAUGGUGAUACAAGAGUCGAUGCGCAUGGGGGUUGCUAAACCCAUGCAAUUUUCGGGGGCAGCAACAUAUUUUGUGUUGAGGUCAGGCCAAGGCAGCUCUGAAAUAAGACCUGAACCACAACACUUCACAAGCAUUCAGCUUUGGAUUCGCGUCAAGUUUCUAGAGUUGGAGAAAAUUUCUUUUCUCUCAAUGCAAGGUUACUUAAGCGGUGUAGUUCGGGAGCAGGAACAAAAUCAUAUUUGAGGAAAUUUUGAACAUCCUGAUAUUUAAAGGUGGACCAUCGUUUGUGCAUUUGAGGUUUGCAUUUCCUGUUCGGAUUUUUAUUUGUUUAUCAUGCUUCGGCGACCAUUUCUUGCCUGCCUUCUUCUUGAUACUUCAGCCAUCAGUUUUAUAUAACUUGAAUUUGGAAGUUCAUGUGUUACUGGUCACUUCAUGCAAGCAUUAGACAGGUACCUACUUUUUCUACGUAAUUCAGUACAAGAUUUUUCAUGCCACAGCAAACUCCCAAGGAAUUAUAGAUGUAAUAAUCUCAUCAAGUUUGCAAUAGAUAAGUGCUAGUAGAAAAUUUAUAUAUUUCAAAUAAACGACUCGAGUUUUCAAAAGGAGAAACCGAAUCCCUAUGUCGUGGUGAUAGUCCCUGGAUCAGUAGCUAUCACAUACAGAACUCAUUUCAGGCAGUAAAUCAGUUCAUACUCACUUAAAGAGAUUCAAACACGGGUUUAAUUAUUACAAAAUCCAGAGGAAUU